rnacentral:misc_RNA from 1 species
ACAAGGUCUCCGUUGGUGAACCAGCGGAGGGAUCAUUACUGAGUACUACACUCUCUACCCUUUGUGAACUAUUAUACCUGUUGCUUCGGCGGCGCCCGCGAGGGUGCCCGCCGGUCUCAUCAGAAUCUCUGUUUUCGAACCCGACGAUACUUCUGAGUGUUCUUAGCGAACUGUCAAAACUUUUAACAACGGAUCUCUUGGCUCCAGCAUCGAUGAAGAACGCAGCGAAACGCGAUAUGUAAUGUGAAUUGCAGAAUUCAGUGAAUCAUCGAAUCUUUGAACGCACAUGGCGCCUUCCAGUAUCCUGGGAGGCAUGCCUGUCCGAGCGUCGUUUCAACCCUCGAGCCCCCGUGGCCCGGCGUUGGGGAUCUGCCACGGCAGGCCCCUAAAACCAGUGGCGGACCCGAAGGCCCUCUCCUUUGCGCAGUAGCAUCAGCCUCGCAUUGGGAUCCCUCGGCGUCCUGCCUCUAAACCCCCCACAAGUCCGCUCCGGCGGCACCAAGGUUGACCUCGGAUCAGGUAGGAAUACCCGCUGAACUUAAGC